UCUAUCGUUUGUCGAACUUGAAAAUAGUAAACUUUAUCAGCGAAUUCGAUGUGGUUAACAUAAAUUCGAAACACUUAAUGUGUGCACCUGCAUCUAAGCCGCACAUUCAUGCUGGAAUCUGAACUUAAUACACAUUCCGUUAGCGAUGAAAUGUUUGAUUUUUCUCUUUGCAUUUUGCUGUGCAGUUUGUGCUUGUGGAUCACGAUUCCAUCGACGUCAAUUUGAAAAUGAUUACUUUGAUGCACAGAGCUAUGACGAAACAAAUACAAACGCAGCUUUCUCAACGCAAUCUGAUCUACACAUGUCACACAACCGGGCGUUUGCGCGACAAUUAGUCGAGGACGAACAUUACAACUGGCUACCGCAACUUAUUCUCCGAAGGUC